UCCUCAUUGUGCAUGCUGUGUGCGCUCCUGCGUCCCACACAGCGCCUGCAAUGUGGAGG
rnacentral:pre_miRNA from 1 species